rfam:Myotis davidii contig94622, whole genome shotgun sequence.
CCUCCUUUUCUUGGCGGGGUUCGGGUGUGCGGUCUCGGUCCCCGUAAUGUACGGAGGCAGAGGGAGAGGGCUCUGGCCCCCUCGGCGUCAUGUCUUCGGUGACCACGGUUGCCAGUCCGUAGGUUCUAUCCUCAAGCGCCGGGACACGG